rnacentral:rRNA from 1 species
GACGAACGCUGGCGGCGUGCUUAACACAUGCAAGUCGAACGGUGAACCCGCUUCGGUGGGGGAUCAGUGGCGAACGGGUGAGUAACACGUGGGCAACCUGCCCCCGGCUCUGGGAUAACCCCAAGAAAUUGGGGCUAAUACCGGAUAUGACCGCUGACCGCAUGGUCUGGUGGUGGAAAGAUUUAUCGGCUGGGAAUGGGCCCGCGGCCUAUCAGCUUGUUGGUGGGGUAGUGGCCUACCAAGGCGACGACGGGUAGCCGGCCUGAGAGGGUGACCGGCCACACUGGACUGAGACACGGCCCAGACUCCUACGGGAGGCAGCAGUGGGGAAUAUUGCGCAAUGGGCGGAAGCCUGACGCAGCGACGCCGCGUGGGGGAUGACGGCCUUCGGGUUGUAAACCUCUUUCAGCAGGGACGAAGCCGCAAGGUGACGGUACCUGCAGAAGAAGCACCGGCCAACUACGUGCCAGCCGCCGCGGUAAAAC